rnacentral:rRNA from 1 species
GACGAACGCUGGCGGCGUGCUUAACACAUGCAAGUCGAACGGAAAGGCCCAGCUUGCUGGGUGCUCGAGUGGCGAACGGGUGAGUAACACGUGGGUGAUCUGCCCCUAACUUCGGGAUAAGCUUGGGAAACUGGGUCUAAUACCGGAUAGGACAAUCGUUUAGUGUCGGUUGUGGAAAGUUUUUUCGGUUAGGGAUGAGCCCGCGGCCUAUCAGCUUGUUGGUGGGGUAAUGGCCUACCAAGGCGUCGACGGGUAGCCGGCCUGAGAGGGUGGACGGCCACAUUGGGACUGAGAUACGGCCCAGACUCCUACGGGAGGCAGCAGUGGGGAAUAUUGCACAAUGGGCGCAAGCCUGAUGCAGCGACGCCGCGUGGGGGAUGACGGCCUUCGGGUUGUAAACCUCUUUCGACAGGGACGAAGCGUUGGUGACGGUACCUGUAUAAGAAGCACCGGCUAACUACGUG